GCAAGUCGAACGAUACUUUCCAGCUUGCUGGAAAGGAAAGUGGCGCACGGGUGCGUAACGCGUAUGCAACCUACCUUAAUCAGGGGGAUAGCCCGAAGAAAUUCGGAUUAACACCGCAUAAAAACACAGGACAGCAUUGUGCAAUGUUCAAAUAUUUAUAGGAUUAAGAUGGGCAUGCGUGUCAUUAGCUAGUUGGCGGGGUAACGGCCCACCAAGGCGACGAUGACUAGGGGAUCUGAGAGGAUGACCCCCCACACUGGUACUGAGACACGGACCAGACUCCUACGGGAGGCAGCAGUAAGGAAUAUUGGUCAAUGGAGGCAACUCUGAACCAGCCAUGCCGCGUGCAGGAAGACAGCCCUCUGGGUCGUAAACUGCUUUUAUUCGGGAAUAAACCUUUCUACGUGUAGGAAGCUGAAUGUACCGAAGGAAUAAGGAUCGGCUAACUCCGUGCCAGCAGCCGCGGUAAUACGGAGGAUCCAAGCGUUAUCCGGAUUUAUUGGGUUUAAAGGGUGCGUAGGCGGCUUAUUAAGUCAGGGGUGAAAGACGGUGGCUCAACCAUCGCAGUGCCUUUGAUACUGAUGAGCUUGAAUGAACUAGAGGUAGGCGGAAUGUGACAAGUAGCGGUGAAAUGCAUAGAUAUGUCACAGAACACCGAUUGCGAAGGCAGCUUACUAUGGUUUUAUUGACGCUGAGGCACGAAAGCGUGGGGAUCAAACAGGAUUAGAUACCCUGGUAGUCCACGCCCUAAACGAUGAAUACUCGCUGUUAGCGAUAUACAGUUAGCGGCUAAGCGAAAGCGUUAAGUAUUCCACCUGGGGAGUACGCCCGCAAGGGUGAAACUCAAAGGAAUUGACGGGGGCCCGCACAAGCGGAGGAGCAUGUGGUUUAAUUCGAUGAUACGCGAGGAACCUUACCCGGGCUUGAAAGUUAGUGAAUUAUCCAGAGAUGGAUAAGUGAGCAAUCACACGAAACUAGGUGCUGCAUGGCUGUCGUCAGCUCGUGCCGUGAGGUGUUGGGUUAAGUCCCGCAACGAGCGCAACCCCUAUGUUUAGUUGCCAGCAUGUAAAGGUGGGGACUCUAAACAGACUGCCUGUGCAAACAGAGAGGAAGGAGGGGACGACGUCAAGUCAUCAUGGCCCUUACGUCCGGGGCUACACACGUGCUACAAUGGAUGGUACAGAGGGCAGCAAGCUGGCAACAGCAAGCAAAUCUCAAAAAGCCAUUCACAGUUCGGAUAGAGGUCUGCAACUCGACCUCUUGAAGUUGGAUUCGCUAGUAAUCGCGUAUCAGCAAUGACGCGGUGAAUACGUUCCCGGGCCUUGUACACACCGCCCGUCAAGCCAUGGAAGUUGGGGGUACCUAAAGUAUGUAACCGCAAGGAGCG
rnacentral:rRNA from 1 species